UGGUGGGAUACCAACCUUGUUUUAUUGGAAUUCUAACGAGAAGCGUAACGAGCUUGCGGACAGUCUCAGGCGGGCAGUUUGACUGGGGCGGUCGCCUCCGAAAGAGUAACGGAGGCGCCCAAAGGUUCCCUCAGCGCGGACGGAAACCGCGCGAAGAGUGCAAAGGCAGAAGGGAGCUUGACUGCGAGACGGACAGGUCGAGCAGGGACGAAAGUCGGGCUUAGUGAUCCGGUGGUAGAGAGUGGAAUUGCCAUCGCUCAACGGAUAAAAGCUACCCUGGGGAUAACAGGCUUAUCUCUCCCAAGAGUCCAUAUCGACGGGGAGGUUUGGCACCUCGAUGUCGGCUCAUCACAUCCUGGGGCUGAAGUAGGUCCCAAGGGUUGGGCUGUUCGCCCAUUAAAGUGGUACGCGAGCUGGGUUCAGAACGUCGUGAGACAGUUCGGUCCCUAUCCAUCGCGGGCGUAAGAAACUUGAAAGGGGCUGCUCCUAGUACGAGAGGACCGGAGUGGACCGACCAAUGGUGUACCAGUCAUGGCGCCAGCCGUGCAGCUGGGUAGCUACGUCGGGGACGGAUAAACGCUGAAAGCAUCUAAGCGUGAAACCAGCCUAGAGAUGAGGUUUCUCAUUGUUUUAACAAGUAAGGUCCCACAAAGACGAUGUGGUUGAUAGGCCGGGAGUGGAAGUACAGCGAUGUACGGAGCGGACCGGUACUAAUAGACCGAGGACUUGACU
rnacentral:rRNA from 1 species